rnacentral:rRNA from 1 species
GAUGAACGCUGGCGGCGUGCCUAAUACAUGCAAGUCGAGCGAACAGAUGAGGAGCUUGCUCCUCUGACGUUAUCGGCGGACGGGUGAGUAACACGUGGAUAACCUACCUAUAAGACUGGGAUAACUUCGGGAAACCGGAGCUAAUACCGGAUAAUAUAUUGAACCGCAUGGUUCAAUAGUGAAAGACGGUUUUGCUGUCACUUAUAGAUGGAUCCGCGCCGCAUUAGCUAGUUGGUAAGGUAACGGCUUACCAAGGCAACGAUGCGUAGCCGACCUGAGAGGGUGAUCGGACACACUGGAACUGAGACACGGUCCAGACUCCUACGGGAGGCAGCAGUAGGGAAUCUUCCGCAAUGGGCGAAAGCCUGACGGAGCAACGCCGCGUGAGUGAUGAAGGUCUUCGGAUCGUAAAACUCUGUUAUUAGGGAAGAACAAAUGUGUAAGUAACUAUGCACGUCUUGACGGUACCUAAUCAGAAAGCCACGGCUAACUACGUG